rnacentral:sRNA from 1 species
GCCGGGUGUGGUGGUCCAUGCCUGUAAUCCCAGUGGCUUGGGAGGCUGAGGCAGGAGGAUCAAGUUCAAAGCCAGCCUCAA